AGAUCAUCAAUCCAACCAACAAUCCUAAAAUGAAGGCUAUCGUUAUCAUUUGCAUUCUGCUGGCUACCCUUCUUUUCUCGUCCCCUUCAAUUGUUGUGGCUCGCGAGCUGGCUGAUCGGGAUGGAAUUCCUCCCGUAAGCAAGAAUCCCAACAAGCCAGUAGUAUCACCAUGCGGAAAGCCUGGCGAACCCGGGUAUAGCAAAUGCAUAAGAAAACAAAGGCCCAUCAAGUGUAAUAAAAAUAGCGCAUUUCGCCGUUGCAAGCCACCUCAAGGACCUUGAAUCAGUAGUACUACUUAAUUAUUGUAGUACUGGUGUGGUGAAAGUAUGAAUAAAUAGUACUAAAGUUACAAGUAGUACUCAUGAUUAAUAUUGUAAUGGAGCUGGAUCGAUCGAUCGAGCUUCCUUUGCAGUAUGGAAACAUAUAUGUAAAAUCUGCUGCAUCUUGAUCAUAUCCUGUCGUGUGCCAAUAUAUAAAAAGAUCGAGCUGACCGACAUAGUUUCGGUGAUCAGCUUGUUGUGAUCC